CGAACCGGGAAACGGCUGUACGCAUGCGCGGCUGCCGAGAUGGCAAUACGCAUCCGCCAGGCCCGAUACGGCAAUACGCAUGCGCGAGUUUCGAGACGGCAGUACGCAUGCGCGAGCCGCGAGACGGCAGCACGCAUGCGCGAGGUUCGAGACGGCAGUACGCAUGUGCGACAUUAUGGACGGCAGUACGCAUGCGCGAGACGCGAGCCGAUGGCACCAGAGACCGCCGCAACCUUUCCGACGCAGUUUUCCUGUUUGGACAUUAGGUGGCAGCAGAUACCGUGGAAACAACUCCUCCGCCGCCUUUUAGCGGACUGCCUGGGACCGUGGGCGCGCGCAUCCCCUUCUCUCUUUCUUUUCUUGGCAGAGGAUGGUGGGGGGAAGAAGGGGAGACGACAAAGAAAAGCAAGGAAAACUUCGACAAACCCCCCAACCCCGUGCUAAAUGCUUUGGUAUACCUGUAAAUAAAUGAAUACAUAACCAGCAA
ensembl:lncRNA